AAUGAAGGGGUAUGGGUCAGUUAUAAUUUUCGCGAGUCAGACCUUUUUCCGGGCUAUAGCGCCCCUGUAACGGGGUUCAUCGGCGCCAUAAAGCGUUAUGGGGGUGGUGGCGCGACAUCAGCUGCAAUUAGGGAGGGACUAAAAAUGUAAAUUAUGCCAUCAAAAGCAAGACAAAUACGACGUCGGAAAAGGGAAGAAACUUGUUAUUGCCUAUUGGGCCAUUGGCUCUCAAGGACUGCCUGUCUGGACAUUGUUGAUCGAUUAAUAAGCAAACCCUUCCGGUUGAGAUUCCUGAAACGGAGAAGAAAUCGGAGAGAUUUGAGUCGCCGACUCACCUCAUUUCUCAACCUUCUUCUCCUACCAACUCACUCAUGGCGGUUCCCGACAACUCUCGUCAAUCUCUCAUCCCUAAUUUCCUCUACACUUCUUCCAUUUCUCCCAGCACCCUACUCAUUAGCAACACAUCAAACCCUACACUGUUUUCUUCUUCCUCCUCACCUGCUAAAGUUCACAAUAACUUCGUGAUUCCUGCUCCUAAUGAGCCCCUUGGCAAGAUUGAGAUGUAUUCUCCACGAUUCUAUGCUGCUUGUACUGUUGGAGGUAUUCUCAGUUGUGGUCUUACUCACAUGGCUGUUACUCCUCUUGAUCUUGUUAAGUGUAACAUGCAGAUUGACUCUGUGAAAUAUAAGAGCAUCUCAUCUGGUUUUGGAGUAUUGCUGAAAGAGCAGGGUAUGAGGGGCUUCUUCAGAGGAUGGGUCCCAACACUUCUUGGUUACAGUGCUCAGGGUGCCUGCAAAUUUGGCUUCUACGAAUUCUUUAAGAAAUAUUACUCUAACAUUGCUGGCCCAGAGUAUGCAGCCAAAUACAAGACUUUGAUCUACCUUGCCGGGUCAGCUUCGGCAAAGGUAAUUGCUGAAAGAGCAGGGUAUGAGGGGCUUCUUCAGAGGAUGGGUCCCAACCCUUCUUGGUUACAGUGCUCAGGGUGCCUGCAAAUUUGGCUUCUACGAAUUCUUUAAGAAAUAUUACUCUGACAUUGCUGGCCCGUAGUAUGCAGCCAAAUACAAGACUUUGAUCUACCUUGCUGGGUAAGAUCGGCAGAGGUAAUUGCUGAUGUAGCUCUUUCUCCUAUGGAGGCAGUGAAGGUACGUGUCCAAACACAACCUGGAUUUGCUAGGGUUUGGGAGAUGGACUUCCAAAGUUUGUCAGAUCGGAAGGUGCACUCGGCUUUUUCUUAUACUACGUAGCUUGUACAAGGGAUUGGUACCGCUUUGGGGACGGCAGAUACCAUGCAGUGAAGAAGCUUGGACUUUGGGGUCUUUUUACUCGUGGGCUUCCACUACGUAUUGUCAUGAUUGGAACCCUCACUGGAGCUCAAUGGGGAAUCUAUGAUGCUUUCAAAGUGUUUGUUGGACUACCAACAACAGGCGGUGCCGCACCUGCUCCAGUUGCCGAGAUUGAGAAGGCUUAGGUGUUUGGAUAUGGAGCCUGAGCUCAAACUGAGUCUAUAAAUAUAGGACUUCUUAGUGGCACAAGAGUAAUUUUGGAGAGUUUUGACUCUUGUGCUUUUAAAAAGGGUGAGGUUUUAACUUGUUUUGUUUAUGAAAUAUUUUUGGUAUCGAAGAGGAUUGUGCUUCAUCGAUCGAGAAGUUUUUGUUAACCAUGAAAGUAAUUUGGGACAAAUGAUAUGGUGAUACCUUUGGCCUUGAGCAAUAAACGCACCCAUUUUUUCGUCUAUUUA